rnacentral:rRNA from 1 species
GUGAGGAAUUUUCCGCAAUGGGCGAAAGCCUGACGGAGCAAUGCCGCGUGAAGGAUGAAGGCCUAUGGGUUGUAAACUUCUUUUCUCAGAAAAGAAUUAUGACGGUAUCUGAGGAAUAAGCAUCGGCUAACUCUGUGCCAGCAGCCGCGGUAAGACAGAGGAUGCAAGCGUUAUCCGGAAUGAUUGGGCGUAAAGCGUCUGUAGGUUGUUUAAAAAGUAUUCUGUCAAAGAUUAGGGCUUAACCCUAGAUAGGCAGAAUAAACUUUUAAGAUAGAGUUUGGUAGAGGCAGAGGGAAUUCCCGGUGGAGCGGUGAAAUGCGUAGAUAUCGGGAGGAACACCAAAGGCGAAGGCACUCUGCUGGGCCAAUACUAACACUGAGAGACGAAAGCGAGGGGAGCAAAUGGGAUUAGAAACCCGAGUAGUCC